UGGGGAAUAUUGCACAAUGGGGGAAACCCUGAUGCAGCGACGCCGCGUGAGGGAAGAAGGUUUUCGGAUUGUAAACCUCUGUCUUGUGGGACGAUAAUGACGGUACCACAGGAGGAAGCCAUGGCUAACUACGUGCCAGCAGCCGCGGUAAUACGUAGAUGGCGAGCGUUGUCCGGAAUUACUGGGUGUAAAGGGAGUGUAGGCGGGAUCAUAAGUUGCGUGUGAAAAGGCGGGGGCUCAACCCCCCGGACUGCGCGCAAAACUGUGGUUCUUGAGUGAAGUAGAGGCAGGCGGAAUUCCCGGUGUAGCGGUGGAAUGCGUAGAUAUCGGGAGGAACACCAGUGGCGAAGGCGGCUUACUGGACGGUAACUGACGUUGAGGCUCGAAAGCGUGGGGAGCAAACAGGAUUAGAUACCC
rnacentral:rRNA from 1 species